rnacentral:rRNA from 1 species
GACGAACGCUGGCGGCGUGCUUAACACAUGCAAGUCGAACGAAGAGCGACGGAAGCUUGCUUCUAUCAAUCUUAGUGGCGAACGGGUGAGUAACGCGUAAUCAACCUGCCCUUCAGAGGGGGACAACAGUUGGAAACGACUGCUAAUACCGCAUACGAUCUAAUCUCGGCAUCGAGGAUAGAUGAAAGGUGGCCUCUACAUGUAAGCUAUCACUGAAGGAGGGGAUUGCGUCUGAUUAGCUAGUUGGAGGGGUAACGGCCCACCAAGGCGAUGAUCAGUAGCCGGUCUGAGAGGAUGAACGGCCACAUUGGGACUGAGACACGGCCCAGACUCCUACGGGAGGCAGCAGUGGGGAAUCUUCCGCAAUGGACGAAAGUCUGACGGAGCAACGCCGCGUGAGUGAUGACGGCCUUCGGGGUGUAAAGCUCUGUUAAUCGGGACGAAAAGGCCUUU